rnacentral:rRNA from 1 species
CAGCCGCCGCGGUAAUACCGGCGGCCCGAGUGGCGGUCACUAUUAUUGGGCUUAAAGCGUCCGUAGCCGGGUUGGGAAGUCCUCCGGGAAAUCUGGCCGCUUAACGGUCAGAAUGCCGGAGGAUACUCCCAGCCUAGGGAGCGGGAGAGGCCGAGGGUAUUCCCGGAGUAGGGGUGAAAUCCCAUAAUCCCGGGCGGACCACCUGUGGCGGAGGCGCUCGGCUGGAACGCGUCCGACGGUGAGGGACGAAGGCCAGGGGAGCAAACCGGAUUAGAUACCCGGGUAGUCCUGGCUGUAAACGAUGCGGACUUUGUGUCGGACAAGCUAUGAGCUUGUCCGGUGCCGGAGGGAAACCGUUAAGUCCGCCGCCUGGGGAGUACGGCCGCAAGGUUGAAACUUAAAGGAAUUGGCGGG